GCGUUCCUUGUGACACAUCGACGUCGUGGAGUCUCGGCGGCGAGGCGCAACAAAGUCUCGACGACGGAUGCAUGAUGAUGAGCGCGCAUAGGGAGGAGGCGCUGUCUGGCGCCGUGGGGGCAUCGACGGCAGGCCUUGCAAGGUCGAUGCGUCAGUAACUCUUCUGAAGAUGGAUUGAUGGAAAGCGGCGGCGACGACCUAUGAGGGUGCGUUGGACCGGUUUGUGCCCCUGACCCGGUAUGUGGCUCGGUCGGGGCCUCCGGCUUUAGAUGUUAGGCUAGGUGAGAGGUCUGGGUAUGUGGCUCACACUUUCUGCACCCCUUCAUCAUUGGAUAGGAGUAGCGACAGAUAUUGUCAAGAGGACGGCUUCAAAUAUAUUGAUAUAUUGCUUUGUAAGAUCUUUGUGAAUAAUUAAUAAAAUGG
rnacentral:lncRNA from 1 species